rnacentral:rRNA from 1 species
GACAGAGGCCUCAAGCGUUAGGCGGAAUCACUGGGCGUAAAGGGUGCGUAGGCGGGUUUUUAAGUCAGGGGUGAAAUCCCGGAGCUCAACUCCGGAACUGCCUUUGAUACUGGAGAUCUUGAGUCCGGGAGAGGUGAGUGGAACUCCGAGUGUAGAGGUGAAAUUCGUAGAUAUUCGGAAGAACACCAGUGGCGAAGGCGGCUCACUGGCCCGGUACUGACGCUGAGGUGCGAAAGCGUGGGGAGCAAACAGG